UACAGAGGGUGCGAGCGUUAAUCGGAAUUACUGGGCGUAAAGCGCGCGUAGGCGGCUUUGCAAGUCGGGUGUGGAAAUCCCCAGGCUUAACCUGGGAACUGCAUUCGAGACUGCAUUGCUAGAGUAUGGGAGAGGGAAGUGGAAUUUCCGGUGUAGCGGUGAAAUGCGUAGAUAUCGGAAGGAACAUCAGUGGCGAAAGCGACUUCCUGGACCAAUACUGACGCUCAUGUGCGAAAGCGUGGGAGCAAACAGG
rnacentral:rRNA from 1 species